rnacentral:tRNA from 5 species
GCGCCAUUACCUCAGCUGGAUAGAGGGACUGACUACGAAUCAGUACGUCGGGGGUUCGAAUCCCUCAUGGCGCACCA